rnacentral:rRNA from 1 species
CCUACGGGAGGCAGCAGUGAGGAAUAUUGGUCAAUGGACGAGAGUCUGAACCAGCCAAGUAGCGUGAAGGAUGACUGCCCUAUGGGUUGUAAACUUCUUUUAUAAAGGAAUAAAACGAGGCACGUGUGCCUUUUUGCAUGUACUUUAUGAAUAAGGAUCGGCUAACUCCGUGCCAGCAGCCGCGGUAAUACGGAGGAUCCGAGCGUUAUCCGGAUUUAUUGGGUUUAAAGGGAGCGUAGAUGGGUUGUUAAGUCAGGUGUGAAAGUUUGCGGCUAAACCGUAAAAUUGCAAUUGAUACUGGCAGUCGUGAGUACAGUUGAGGUAGGCGGAAUUCGUGGUGUAGCGGUGAAAUGCUUAGAUAUCACGAAGAACCCCGAUUGCGAAGGCAGCUUACUAAACUGUGACUGACAUUGAUGCUCGAAAGUGUGGGUAUCAAACAGGAUUAGAUACCCUGGUAGUC